rnacentral:rRNA from 1 species
UCCUACGGGAGGCAGCAGUAAGGGAUAUUGCACAAUGGACGGAAGUCUGAUGCAGCGACGCCGCGUGGGUGAAGAAGGUUUUCGGAUCGUAAAGCCCUUUUCUAUGUGACGAGAGAGGACGGUAGCAUAGGAAUAAGUGUCGGCUAACUACGUGCCAGCAGCCGCGGUAAAACGUAGGACACGAACGUUAUCCGGAGUUACUGGGCGUAAAGCGCGCGCAGGCGGUUGGUCAAGUUACCUAUGAAAGUUACCGGCUAAACUGGUAAUGGUUAGGUGAAACUGGUUAACUAGAGAGAAAUAGAGGGAAGUAGAAUUCCGGGUGUAGUGGUGAAAUGCGUAGAUAUCCGGAGGAAUACCGGUGGCGAAGGCGGCUUCCUGGAUUUCCACUGACGCUGAGGCGCGAAAGCGUGGGUAGCGAACGGGAUUAGAAACCCCGGUAGUCCACGCCGUAAACGAUGUACAUUAGGCGUUCGGCAACGAUGGUUGUUGAGUGUCGCAGCAAACGCGAUAAAUGUACCGCCUGGGGAGUACGGUCGCAAGGCUAAAACUCAAGGAAUUGACGGGGA